UACGUAGGGUGCGAGCGUUGUCCGGAAUUAUUGGGCGUAAAGGGCUCGUAGGCGGUCUGUCGCGUCGGGAGUGAAAACUCAGGGCUUAACCCUGAGCCUGCUUCCGAUACGGGCAGACUAGAGGUAUGCAGGGGAGAACGGAAUUCCUGGUGUAGCGGUGAAAUGCGCAGAUAUCAGGAGGAACACCGGUGGCGAAGGCGGUUCUCUGGGCAUUACCUGACGCUGAGGAGCGAAAGCUAGGGGAGCAAACAGG
rnacentral:rRNA from 1 species